rnacentral:rRNA from 1 species
AUUGAACGCUGGCGGCAGGCCUAACACAUGCCAGUCGAACGGUAACAGGAAGAAGCUUGCUUCUUUGCUGACGAGUGGCGGACGGGUGAGUAAUGUCUGGGAAACUGCCUGAUGGAGGGGGAUAACUACUGGAAACGGUAGCUAAUACCGCAUAACGUCGCAAAACCAAAGAGGGGGACCUUCGGGCCUCUUGCCAUCGGAUGUGCCCAGAUGGGAUUAGCUAGUAGGUGGGGUAACGGCUCACCUAGGCGACGAUCCCUAGCUGGUCUGAGAGGGUGACCGGCCACACUGGAACUGAGACACGGUCCAGACUCCUACGGGAGGCAGCAGUGGGGAAUAUUGCACAAUGGGCGCAAGCCUGAUGCAGCCAUGCCGCGUGCAUGAAGAAGGUCUUCGGGUUGUAAAGUUCUUUCAGCGGGGAGGAAGGGAGUAAAGUUAAUACCUUUGCUCAUUGACGUUACCCGCAGAAGAAGCACCGGCUAACUCCGUG